UGAAGGGCAGAUCCGGUCUCCUUUGUUUUACGGCUUUGGUAAAAGUUUUACCAAAGGUCUUAUUUUCAAAUCUCAAAUUUAACCUCAGCACUUCGUGAUUUUAUAGAACUAAGUAUGAGCCAUAAAUAGCGGUAUAAUACGUCAACAAAUAUGCAGGUAAGUCGGUUAUCGGUAAGUGCACCUUCCCUCUCGCUGAUAUUUUCAAAACAGAGAGAGAGAGAGAGAGGGAGAGAGGCAACUCCUUGCUACCAUCGCUUGUCGAUGACAACGACGACAGCAUUCCGCUAUCAGAAACGUUGAUUUCUUUUGUUCUCUCCAUUCCCUUUAAGCGUUCUACAGAUCGUCCUGGAAUUUCUUCCACUGGAGUUUUGGAUCCAGGAAGAGCUACAAAGUCUAAGUGGUGAUUUAUCAGAUUUGUAGGAUCUUGAAAAGAAUUUAUUUAAAAAAUUUCCUCCAAGGCAUCCAGUCGAAAAUCAACAGGUCAGUGCUGGAUUGCUUGUUCAUUUCCCAAGCCCAGAACUUCAGUGAAAGACUAUGAAUCACUAAUACCUGCGGUUAGUCUUUCUCGAUGUUAUGAGAAUUAACAACUUAGAAGAUUUCUUUUACAACCUCCCUAUUCAUCUUGAAAGAGGUUGGAGAUCUUAAUUUGGUUAUACGCAAAAGAGGAACCUAGCAGAAAUGCAACAAUAAAAGACUAAAAAGUUGCCAAAGUUCCAGUCUUCAAGGCCAUCCUGAUGGCAGAUGCUGCUUCAGUUCCUUCAUCUACCAAAAAUGCUAAUUUGGGUUAAAAAAGGCCUUCAGUGUAAUCAGAACGUCUGACCAGUCAAAACUGAGGGGAAUGUUGGGUUUAAAGGUUCUUUAAAACAUAGCAAACAUGCCUCCGGUUGGUGCAUCUUUGGCUGUGGAAUCUUGUUUACAAUGUUCUGGAAAAAAAAUUCGGUUAGAAGUGGGGAAUUUCUUGUUGAUGGUUGUCUGUUAAACAGGUUGUAUUUAGCUGUGAAGUUAUUAUGAUUCAUCAUUAUCGGUUCAGUUCUCUGAUCUCUACUAAAUAUGAAUCAUGUUUUCUAUGUGAUAAUGACAUUUUCUUAAAAACAGGCCAAUUCAUAGUCGAGGCACAUUCACCAGCCAAUCGGCUGCCUCCACUGGUUAAGUGUUAACUAAAGUAGUUUAACUGGUUUUCAGCAGUUCCAUAUGCUGAUAUGGAAGCAUCAAUUGGCCAUGCUGAUUCUAAUUUCUAACCAAGUUUGAGUUUUGUUGAAAUAACUUGGUUUUAUUUUAAGUUUAGUGCCGCAAGGGCACCCUUGUAAUUUUCUCCUUUAUUUUUUAUGUAUGGUCGCCCUAGUAUAUAUACCUGAAUAAACUGGUGCCGCCAGUUGACUUUUGCCUCUUUCAAUUCUGUCUCUCUUCUCUCUUUUCUCUCUUCUCCCUUCCACCUUCUUCUCUUCUUUCUGUUCUAGAAUCACACCAUCUCAGCACCAAUAAAACAUGGUAUCAGAGCGGUAGAUCCAAUCUUAGGACCAGGGCGGUGCUUCUUUCCUUUUCUGUCUAUUGGUGGUCGAACCAAAGAACAAGAUCUCUGGUGGACGUGUGAGGAAGCUCAUUGCAAGACUGUUUCUUGGUCGUGAGCCCAUAAACUAUCAGAAAGAAAAAAAUCGAAUGCUGUGAGUUUUUUUUUAGUUUUUUCUUCCUCAAUUUGUGGAUCGAAGUGAUCCUUUUUUGUACCCAGAUGUAUGGGUUAUGUGGGUCUAAUGACCUGCGGCUGGUGUGAGAGUAUUUUCUCUCAUUGUAUGUGGAUCGAAUGAUCCCUUUUUUUGCCUAGAAAGGUGUUAUUACUUCAAGGUUACAAAUCUGUAACUGCUGUGACAGCAGAUUAUUUUCUUCUUCUACUCAUAUAGAAGCUAAGUUACUGUGUGAAAGAUGUUUUGUUGCUAGAGAGAAUGGUCAGAUCUAUUUUUUUUAUACUCCUUACACAUCUGAAAUGGUGUGUGAUCAGUCUAAAAGGGUUCAGUAGGGCCGAAAUCUGAGAACAGUAAUGGUGUGGGACCAGUUGUGAUUUCCUUGAGUAAGAACAAGUUUUUUUUUUGUGUGUAGCUGAACUGGAAACUUGAUCAGAUUGUUGCAACUUGUUUUUGACUGUACUGUGGGUUUGAGCUGAAUUAAAAAACUUGUUCUCUAGCUGGUUUGCGACUGAUCAGAUUUAGCUUCUAUGUCUUCAGAAGAUUCUGGUAUGUUUGGUGUUACCUCUAGUUAGAGUGGGAUGAGCGGAGGUUUUGACAUGAGUUUUCCCAUGGCUGGGAUUCCCUUUGAUGGCUUUAAUUACCUAGAAUGGUCAAGGGGAAUCAAACUUUACAUAACUAUAAGGGGAAAAGUAGGAUAUAUCAAUGGCGGAAUUAGAGAAUCCCAGUCUAGUGGUGUGGAACAUGAUAGGUGGGACUGGGAAAACAAUAUGGUGAUGUCAUGGCUGUUAUUGCCUAUGCUGCCACAAGUGAGAAAGACCUUCAUGUGGGCAGAAACAACUCAUGAGAUAUGGGAGUAGGCACAGUCUACAUACUCUGAACAACGUCAUUAUGCUAAAAUAUAUUAGAAUAUAGACCGGAAGUGUGAUGCAGAAGCCAAAGUGGGCUCAGGAAAUGAGUAAAAAGCCGGAUUAGAAUAAGAAGCCAGGAUAGCAAGGUAAGAAAAAGUUUAAUGCAACAAAUUUAGCCUCUCAAGAGCCUCAAUCAUUUACCACCACUACGAGUUCUUUCGGGACUGAUAUGAGGGAAGAUAUCAUUAAUUCUUUCCAUGACCAUUUAAAGUUGUAUGGGAGGGAAAUCCGCCAGAUGGAUUCUGCUCUCCACCCUUAACUUCCUUUGCAUCUACAUUAGGUAACGGUAAUUCUGCCACAACUUUCCAUGUGUCCUCUCACCCCUCAGACUCCCCUUGGAUAAUAAACUCUGGAGCCUUGAACCAUAUAACGGGUAAGUCCAAUUGUUUUCAAUCUUAUCAUGUAUUAUUUGGUUGGGACAAGGUGAGACUUGCUGAUGGUUCUUUCUCCACCAUAGUUGGUUAAGGAACCAUCUCCCUUCCUCUUUGAUUCACCUUCUCUGAUGUUCUACAUGUUCCUAAACUGUCCAUAAAUUUGUUCUCUUUUAGUAGUAUAACAAAUUCGUUGAACUGCUCAGUAACAUUUUUUCCUUCCUCUUGUAUGAUACAGGAUUUGGCCUCGGGGAAGAUGAUUGGUAGAAGUCGUAUGGUAGAUGGUCUUUAUAUGCUGGAGAAUAAAGCUUGUCUUGCAUGCUAUUGAGUCUAAGAGUCUAUCUAAUAAGAGUCAAGUCCUUUUAUGGCAUAGUCGUUUGGGUCAUUUAUCUUUUGAGUCAUUGAAAGUUUUGUUACCGUAUUUAUUUAAAUCAGUGUUAGUGUCGGAUUUUACAUGUCAAACUUGUCAGUUGAGCAAACAUAGUAGAAAUCACUUUACUUCAAGAAAUAAUAAAUCUGAUUUUCCUUUCCAUAUUGUAUAUUCUUAUGUCUAGGGCCCAAUUACUUUAGCAACUGAGUCUAGCUAUAGAUAUUUCAUUACACUUACUCCCGAUAUACAUGGGUGUAUCCUAUGCAGUCCAAAGAUGAAGUACCAAAAAUCAUUAAAGAUUUCCAACGCUUGAUAUUCACUCAGUUUCAAACGGAAAUCCAAAUUUUUCUAUCAGACAUUGCCAAGGAAUAUUUCCAUAGUGAUCUCACGGAGUUCUUUGCCUCGUGCGGAUCCAUACACCGUAGCUCUUGCGCUAGAACCCCCCAACAAAAUGGUGUUGCUGAAAGAAAGAAUUGUCAUCUCUUUGAAGUUGCUCGCGGGCUACACAUGAAUGUUCCUAAACGUUUCUAGUUGGAUACUGUGUUCUGUGCUGCCUAUCUCAUCAACCGUAUGCCAUCUUGCUUGUUAGGGUACAAGGCCUCCCAUCAACUUCUUUUUCCCAAGGCUCCACUCUUCUCUAUUCCUAUUCGUGUGUUUGGUUGUUGUUGUUUCGUCCAGGACCUUUCUCCUACUUGUGGAAAACUUGAUCCUCGUACCAUUCCUUGUGUCUUCUUGGAUUAUCCUUCUUCCCAAAAGGGCUAUCAAUGCUUUGACCCCAUUUCCAAGAAGUACUGUCUCUAUGGAUGUGUCUUUCUUUGAAAGUGAUCAUUUUUUCUCGGUUUCUUCUCAGGGGGAGAGUAAGGUGGAGGAAAAAUCAAUUCAUGUUCAGGAUCUUCCUCAUUUGCCUAACCCUCUUCCAUUCCGUGUUUUUCAUCGUCACAAGAGCCAGCUAAAUUCGAAAGCUGUGGAGCAACUUGAAAUCGUACCACCACCAUCAUCAGAUUCAUCGAGGACAGAUCAUAUCCAACCAGGUACUAUCAUUCCUAUUGAUAUUCUUGAUCCUCUUUCCAUAGAAAUUCCAUCUGGUGAUGACCUUGACAUUCCUAUUGCAAAAAGGGAGUUAGGUCUUGUACCACCAAGUAUCCUAUUACCCAUUUUGUUACCUAUGAGAACAUUUCACCCUCCUUUCGUGCUUUCAUUUCAUUGACAAUGUCCCUAUCCCAAAAAAUGUGGCAGAAGCUCUCUUAGUACCUGAAUGGACAGAUGCAAUGAAAGAAGAGAUAAAUGCCUUACAUAAAAAUGGUACGUGGGAAUUAGUGGAUCUUCUUGAGAGUAAGGAACUGAUAGGGUGCAAGUGGGUAUUCACAGUGAAACACAAAGCUGAUGGCACGAUAGAAAGGUACAAGGCUAGGUUGAUGGCAAAAUGGUUUAUCCAGGUAUAUGAUGUAGAUUAUGCAGAGACCUUUGCCCUAGUAGCCAAGAUGAACUCCAUUAGAGUCAUUUUCUCCCUUGUGGCAAAUCUUGAUUGGGAUCUUCAUCAGCUAGACAUUAAAAACGCCUUUCUGAAUGGAGACCUUGAAGAAGAGGUAUACAUGGUUCAACCUCCUGGCUUUAGUGCCCUAGGCAAAGAGCAGAAAGUGUGCAGAUUAAAGUCUUUGUAUGGUUUGAAGCAAUCACCGAGAGCCUGGUUCAGCAAGUUUCAUCUGGCUAUAUAGUAGAUUGGUUACAAACAAUGUCAAACUGACCAUACUCUAUUUGUGAAAAGAGGGGAAGGAAAGAUUGCAGCCUUGAUAGCGUAUGUUGACGACAUAGUGAUCAUAGGUGACUGGAAGAUUGAAAUUCAGAGACUAAAAGAUUUCUUAGUCACUCAAUUUGAGGUGAAGGAUCUAGGUCCCUUUCGAUAUUUCCUAGGAAUUGAAGUGGCCUGCUCUCAAAAGGGGAUCUUCAUUUAUCAGAGGAAAUACAUCCUAGAUCUGUUACAAGAUACAGGAAAACUAGGGGUGGGUUAAGCUAGCCGACUCUCCCAUUGAUCCAAAUCACAGACUGGGUGACUGUUGUGGUGAAGUUGUCAAAGACGUAAAACAAUUCCAGAGACUUGUGGGAAGGCUCCUGUAUUUAUCCAUGACCAGGCCAGACAUUGCUUAUGCAGUGGGUGUUCUUAGUCAGUUCAUGCAUGCUCCUAAGACCACACACUUAGAGGCAACAAAAAGAAUACUCAAAUACCUAAAGAGGUUUUCUGGAGCUGAUUUGUUAUACCAAAAGAAUGGUCACUUGAAGAUUGAAGUAUAUACACAGAUGCUGAUUGGGUUGGAUCAGUUGAUGACAAAAAGUAUAUUAGUGGGUAUUGUUCCUUUGUGAGGAAACCUUGUCGCAUGGAGAAGCAAGAAACAAAAUGUGGUGGCUAGGUCUAGUGAUGAAGCUAAAUAUAGAGCAAUGUCCCAUGGAGUGGCUAAAGGCAUGUGGAUAAAGAAUCUGUUGAGUGAACUGGGUUUUCCUGUUGAUGAUCCUAUAUCCUUGUAUUGUGAUAACAAGGCUACCGUCAGCAUUGCAGCCAACUCAGUUGUUCAUGAUAGAACUAAGCAUAUAGAGGUUGACAAACACUUCAUUAAAGAGAAAAUUGUUAAUGGGGAGCUGUGCACCCCAUAUGUGAGUUCCAAAGAGCAAUUGGCAAAUAUAUUUACAAAAGGCUUAUAUCACUCGUGGCACAAUAAUUUAUGUGACAAGUUGGGCAUGAUUGAUAUCUACAUUCCAACUUGAGGGGGUGUUGAAAUAACUUAGUUUUAUUUUGAGUUUAGUGUCGCAAGGGCACCUUUGUAAUUUUCUCUUUUAUUUUUUUUUAUGUAUGGUCGCCCUAGUAUAUAUACCAAAAUAAACUGGUGCCGUUGACUUUUGCCUUUUUCAAUUCUCUCUCUUCUCUCUUUUCUCUUUUCUCCCUUCCUCGUCUCUGUUAUGGAAUCACACCAUCUCAGCACCAAGAAAACUAGGUUCACUUCCAUAAACCUGUAUUUUUGUGGUGUUGAAUAUGCAGAAUCGUCUGGUCUGGUUAGCAGAUGCAUCACUGAUGUUCUUUGGUCAGCCAAAAUCAUCUGGCUUUUUGCGCUGUGCAAUCUCCAAGAAAUGCUCAACCAUGUGGUCUUCAGGGUUCCAACUUCCAACAUUACCAAGUCUUGAAGAAAUUUGGUAAGUCGGCCACAUUUGUGGAUUCACACCUCUUCAUGCACUCCGGUUUUCUCCUCUGCGAUCCCCACUUGUGAGAGAACACUUUAUUUUGAGCAUAACAGAGUUCGAGCGGGAGACGGAUAAAGAUUGGGUGGGAUAGAGUGGUAAGCUGAGUUUUGCUUUUAUUCCUUCUCUCUCCGAUGGUGUUGUUUGAAAAAAGAGGGUUGGGUUUCCUGUUUUUCGUAGGGCUGCAAAUGGAUUGAAUUAAAUUGGAUAUGAGCAGAUUUGAAUUCAAAUUGGAUCAUCAUAUCCAUUGGAUAUCUAAUGGAUUCUAAUCAAAUUCAGAUUCAUAAA